rnacentral:tRNA from 1 species
GCGGGGGUCGCCAAGCCAGGUCAAACAGCGUAGGGCUAGAGCUCCAGUCACGUAGGGGUUCGUGGGUUCAAAUCCCACCCCCCGCA